GGAUUGCCCUAGUAACGGCGAGUGAAGCGGCAACAGCUCAAAUUUGAAAUCUGGCCUUCGGGUCCGAGUUGUAAUUUGCAGAGGAUGCUUUUGGCGCGGUGCCUUCCGAGUUCCCUGGAAUGGGACGCCUUAGAGGGUGAGAGCCCCGUACGGUUGGACACUAAGCCUCUGUAAAGUCCUUCGACGAGUCGAGUAGUUUGGGAAUGCUGCUCUAAAUGGGAGGUAAAUUUCUUCUAAAGCUAAAUAUUGGCCAGAGACCGAUAGCGCACAAGUAGAGUGAUCGAAAGAUGAAAAGCACUUUGAAAAGAGGGUUAAAUAGCACGUGAAAUUUUGAAAGGGAAGCGUUUGCGACCAGACCUUUUCCUGGCGGAUCAUCCGGUGUCUCACCGGUGCACUUCGCCAGGUCGAGGCCAGCAUCGGUUUUCGUAGGGGGAUAAAAGCCUGAGGAACGUAGCUCCCUCGGAGUGUUAUAGCCCCUCGCAUAAUACCUUUACGGGGACCGAGGACCGCGCCUUCGGGCAAGGAUGCUGGCAUAAUGGUUGUCAACGACCCGUCUUGAAACACGGACCAAGGAGUCGAACAUUUGUGCGAGUGUUUGGGUGUUAAACCCUCACGCGUAAUGAAAGUGAACGGAGGUGAGAGCCCCUUGCGGGGUGCAUCAUCGACCGAUCCUGAUGUCUUCGGAUGGAUUUGAGUAAGAGCAUAACUGUUCGGACCCGAAAGAUGGUGAACUAUGCGUGGAAGGGUGAAGCCAGAGGAAACUCUGGUGGAGGCUCGCAGCGGUUCUGACGUGCAAAUCGAUCGUCAAAUCUGCGCAUGGGGGCGAAAGACUAUCGAACCAUCUAGUAGCUGGUUACCGCCGAAGUUUCCCUCAGGAUAGCAGUGUUGUUCUUCAGUUUUAUGAGGUAAAGCGAAUGAUUAGGGACUCGGGGGCGCUUUUUAGCCUUCAUCCAUUCUCAAACUUUAAAUAUGUAAGAAGCCCUUGUUACUUAAUUGAACGUGGGCAUUCGAAUGUACCAACACUAGUGGGCCAUUUUUGGUAAGCAGAACUGGCGAUGCGGGAUGAA
rnacentral:rRNA from 1 species